GAAGGAAGGCGAGAGGGCCGGUCCAGAAGGGCUGAGAAUGGCAAUUUAGGCGUGGGCUCUUUUUAAUCCCGCAGGUUUAUCCCGACGUCGCCGUUUCCGAAGGGAGGAGACGAAGAGGGGAAGGAACAGGAAGGCAGUUCGUUGGGUACCCUGCGUCGGUUGGUCCUUGAACAGAAGACCCAUCACGCAGAGGUAGGGAGUUGGGGGGGGAAAUGGAAGAGUCGCGCGCACCUGGCAAUUCCAAUGCAAAAUGUAGAGGGGGCUUCAACCAUAGAGGUGAGAAGUGGCAGAGCGACUUCUAGGGGAAGAGGGCAGGAGGCAGAAGCUUGGCAGAGAAAGCAAUGGCGCUCUCGGGAAUUGUGGCGCCAGCCCUGCUUGGCAUUAAGGCUGCUGACUUCGCAGCAGGUGCAGUUGGAAUCUGUGGCAUCUGCUUCCGUGUGAACGUGGCACAUUUCGCAGAGUUCAGAUGGACAUCAGUGGGACCAGUGCAGACUGCAGACCUUCCAAGUGUCUCUAUUUUCCAGGGACGGUCCCAAAUUUACAGCAGCCGUCCCGGUUUCUGAUUUGAUCCCUAUUUUCAUUGGAGAAAGGUUGGAGGGUAUUGAGUUAUUCGGCACCCGAACAAAGGAAAUAAGUAACUAUACAACUUUUAAGAAGUCAUCUGAAGGCAGCCUUCUAUAAGGAACUUAAUGUUUUAUUAUGUUUUUGCAUAUGUUGGCAGCCACCCAGAGGGGCUGAGGCAACCCAGUCAGAUGGGCAGAGUAUAAAUAGUAAAAAAAAUAUUAUUACUAUGGAAUAGGACGUCCCUAUUUUGAUCAAGAGAAAUGAAUCCCUCCUAUAGUUCAUAUGUUCUGCUUCAAACUUCUUUGUUCCGGCAAGCCUGCCAAGAAAUGUAAUUUUCACAUGCACUUUUGUUCUUAAAGUCUGCUUAUUUUAUUUAUAUUCUUAUUUAUUAUCCAUUUUUUAUUUAUGCUAGUAUUUAUAGCCCACCCGUCGCAUAAAAUAUCAGUAGGGUGUACAACAAAAUUUACAAGCACAAUGAAAACAGUACAGAAUGAUCAUAAAAAUGACUGGCUUAUCUUUAAAAAGUGUAAACAACUGAAUAGGACUGUUGACAUAAGGAGCAGUCUUCAAAGAGGUACUGUAAGUUGUCAGUGAGGAUAGUAGCUGAAUCUAGAAGCUGAAUCUUAGCUGGUAUCUUAGCUGGAAAAGUCUUCGACAGCAUGGGACCGAUGACACUAAAUGUCCAACCUCAGGUUGAAACUAGUUGGGCUUCUGAAACACAAGGGGCAAAUAAUGACACUCCUCCAGAUGAUCUCAGAGAUACAGUGGUACCUCGGGUUAAGUACUUAAUUCGUUCCGGAGGUCCGUUCUUAACCUGAAACUGUUCUUAACCUGAAGCACCACUUUAUCUAAGGGGGGCUCCUGCUGCCACCGCGCCACCGGAGCAUGAUUUCUGUUCUCAUCCUGAAGCAAAGUUCUUAACCUGAAGCACAAUUUCUGGGUUAGUGGAGUCUGUAACCUGAAGCGUAUGUAACCUGAGGUACCACUGUAAUUCUGAUAAUUUUUUUAUUCCUACUCUUUUAAAGUCUAUUUUUAUUUGCCCCCCACUCCAGCCUCAUUGAUUGGUUUGAUAGGUAAAGGGACCCCUGACCAUUAGGUCCAGUCGUGGCCGACUCUGGGGUUUCGAUGCUCAUCUCGCUUUAUUGGCCAGGGAGCCGGCGUACAGCUUCCGGGUCAUGUGGCCAGCAUGACUAAGCCGCUUCUGGCAAACCAGAGCAGCACAUGGAAACGCCAUUUACCUUCCCGCUGGAGCGGUACCUAUUUAUCUACUUGCACUUUGAUGCGCUUUCAACCUGCUAGGUUGGCAGGAGCAGGGACCGAGCAACAGGAGCUCACCCUGUGGCGGGGAUUCGAACCGCCGACCUUCUGAUCGGCAAGUCCUAGGCUCUGUGGUUUAACCCACAGCACCACCCGCGUCCCCCGAUUGGUUUGAUAGAACCUCCAAAACUGCACAAUGGAAGGAAAGGAGAAAGUGUCCCAUCUGGCAACCCAAAAUGUUUCCCAUGGCGGAUUGAUUGCCUUAGCACAAUGUUGAAUUCCACCGACUGCUAUUUUUAAUGAAUGCUUUAUACCAUUUCAUGUAAACUGUUUAGAGUGUAUGCAUUUAUAGUAGUGUAUAAAUCUUGCUAAACUUAUAUAGUUUCAUUUCACAGAUCCAAGAACAUGCAUUCAUAGCCAUGCAUCCAUUUCUGGAGAGGGCUUGGCUAUGAGCUUAAAUGUAAUACCUGUGAGAACAUGAUACCUAACUGUAUGGGAAAGCGGGCGGGCAUGUCUAAGAAUCCCGAUGACUUUCUGAAUGAUCUGGAGGACUUUGAUCCAAACUCAAACAUAUUUUAAUAUUAUAGCUUUCACCUUAAGCCCUGCUGUGGAGGUUUGACAGAGCUACAGGAUUUGCAGUAGUAUUGCCGGAGUCUAUGUCAACAAAAGUUUGAUUACUUGUCUCUAACUAGCAGGCUUAUUCACUCAACAGCCAGUUACAGAGCUAGUUGUCCUGCAUCUUGUUACACGCACUUAACAUGUAGUAAAUAAGCAACACAAAUCACGAAUCUGCUUGGGCAUGGAAUCAGCUAUGGCAAAGGAGAAUAAAACUGUUCAUGGAAAGAAAACAUUGGCUACACAGGGCACUUUUUCUGCCCAAGAGUCACUGAUGAAAAUGACAACUGUACCAGCAAGGGCAGCAGUAUUCACUUCCACAUUAGUGAAUUCCUGGGCUUUAGAUCCAGUAAUGGUAUUUAAAAAAUUAUAUUAUGCCCUCUAACUUUAAUAAAUAGUACUGUUGGCACCCAGUUUAUUAAAAACAUCCAUCCUUAUUUCUUUGACUGGUUAGUCUCUCUGCACAAAAAUAUGUUCAUUGUCAUUUCUGUAUUUCAGAUUCCAAUAAAAUUACAUUUAUUUGAGUGACAUCUCUUAUGUUUGUUUGUAUUCCUCAUAGGACUUGCUCAGCAAAUUUUGUGGUGGUUUUAAUUAUCAAACCUCUCCUUUCUGGCAAGAAAAUUCCUGUUUGGCUGUCCUUGGCAGGAUAUUUUUCCCUGAAGGAGAAAUGGUCCUUCAGGACCUGGGGAAUGGUCGUACAGUGGUACCUCGGGUUAAGUACUUAAUUCGUUCUGGAGGUCCGUUCUUAACCUGAAACUGUUCUUAACCUGAAGCACCACUUUAGCUAAUGGGGC